rnacentral:rRNA from 1 species
UUAUUUUUACUGUAAAAUAAAUGAAACUAGAGUACUAAUAGUUAUGAUCUUUAAACUUAAAGAAUUUGGCGGUAUUAUAGUCUAUUUAGAGGAAUCUGUUAUGUAAUCGAUAAUCCACGUUGAACCUUACUUAUGUUAAUUCUUGUAUACCACUGUCUAGAUUACACUUUUAGGUGUUUAUUUCUGAAUAUAUUAUUUAAUAAAAUUUCAAGUCAAGGUGCAGUAAUACGUAAGUUGAAUAAUGGAUUACAAUAAAUUUUAUUUAUUUACGGAUUGUUACUUAAAAAUAAUUUGAAGGUGGAUUUAAUAGUAAUUUUAUGAAGAUUGUUAAAAUGAUUAAAGCUCUAUAGUGCGCACACAUCGCC